rnacentral:tRNA from 1 species
UGAUUCAUAGUGUAAUGGGAAGCACACAAGACUUUGGCUCUUGUAGUUUAGGUUCGGAUCCUAAUGAAUCAA